GCCGAUGUAGCUCAGUGGCAGAGCAACUUCAUGGUAAGAAGUAGGUCGGAGGUUCGAUUCCUCUCAUCGGCU
rnacentral:tRNA from 3 species